rnacentral:lncRNA from 1 species
UUUGUCGGUGACUCGAGCGAUUCCCCAAACACCGCUACGCACACAUCGUGUCACGGCUACGUGUUUGAGUGAAUCUAUCAAAAUUCUCAACCUUCGACUAAAAGCUAAAGGCUAUCAACCCAAAGCUUAAAGCGGAAGAUUGAGUGACCCCUCGGAUCAUGCUACGCACACAUCGUGUCACGAUCACACGUCCAAGUGGGUCGCCUAAUCCUAAUAGGGUGGAGUGGCGUGACAAGCCACUAAAAGAAAAAUAAAUGAGGGACAAAAAAUAAUAAAAGCGUAUGCACGUAUGCAAGUGCUUCGUUUGGAGGGAAGGGAUCGAGAACCAACGUGAGGCUCUAGGGUAAAAUCCCCCACCCAAAUGCAAUGCAAAGCGCGGUACAAACAAGUAAAUAAAUAAACCAUUCAUCAGAUACACGAAAGACGAAGAACGAAUACGUGUGAAACGCAAAACAUCCUAAAAAAGAAAAAUGCAACCUAAAACAUCCAAAUAUGAUAAAUAAAAAGGAUUAAAAAAGGAAAAGACAACUAAACCAAAUGCUUGGACUCUCUAAGUCCCCAGUGGAGUCGCCAAGUUGUCGCGCCCCAUUUUUCGCGAUG